UACGGAGGGUGCAAGCGUUAUCCGGAUUCACUGGGUUUAAAGGGUGCGUAGGUGGGCAGGUAAGUCAGUGGUGAAAUCUCCGGGCUUAACCCGGAAACUGCCAUUGAUACUAUCUGUCUUGAAUACCGUGGAGGUGAGCGGAAUAUGUCAUGUAGCGGUGAAAUGCUUAGAUAUGACAUAGAACACCAAUUGCGAAGGCAGCGCACCACACGAAUAUUGACACUGAGGCACGAAAGCGUGGGGAUCAAACAGG
rnacentral:rRNA from 1 species